UAGCCGUAAACGAUACUCGCUAGGUGUCGGCCACGGUGCGACCGUUGUCGGUGCCGUAGGGAAGCCGUGAAGCGAGCCACCCGGGAAGUACGGCCGCAAGGCUGAAACUUAAAGGAAUUGGCGGGGGAGCACAACAACGGGUGGAGCUUGCGGUUUAAUUGGAUUCAACGCCGGAAAUCUUACCGGGACCGACAGCAACAUGAAGGCCAAGCUGAAGACUUUGCCGGAUUAGCUGAGAGGAGGUGCAUGGCGUAGUCGUGU
rnacentral:rRNA from 1 species